UGAGGCCAGGGUCUGUGUGGCCAAAGGUCCUGUGAGGGGCCAAGCCCGAGAUGGGGGAAGAGUGCAGGGGGCUAGGCAGCCCAGAAUGAGGGUGGAGUAGGCCUCCUGAUU